rfam:Gossypium hirsutum cultivar TM-1 chromosome 6, whole genome shotgun sequence
CCUAGGGGAGCGUUUUGUCCACGUCAUCACAAAGCGCUUCCUUGAGGGCACGCUUUGUGCUGACGUGGACAAAAUGCUCCCUCAGGG